AACAGAACCAGGAGGGGGCGACCAGGGGUUUCUCCACAAACCCUAAUUCUCACAAAAUCCUUCAAAUUGAAGCUCAAAUCAAGCCCGAAUCGUCUGCAUGAUUACAAAUUCGUGAUCUCCAUUGAAAGGGGAGUCAUAAGUUUGACUCUUGACGAGCUAGGUGAAGCUUGGAGGAGAAGAUCAAACGGGAUAAAGGCACGAAUAAGACUUGCUUGGAUGAAAGGGGCGAAUAGUAAUUUGGGUAAUUGCGUCGCCAUAAGAAUAUCGAUAAUGAAAGCAAGGAGUCGAAACGGGUCAUUAGGUUGACUCGAGCCAGGUGAAUGUCGAGAGUCCCGGAUGAAGAUCAAGCAUCGAACAAGAACCGAACACACGUUAAACAAAGCUUCCGCAACGUUAUUUUGUCGUUAUUCUAAACGGCGAAUUAAAUCACAUUAUGUAUAUCACUUAAAUUGUAAAAGUUUUUAACAACCCGUAUUUCUAAUGUAUAUGUAAUUAUUAAUUACAUGAUUAUUUCGCUAAA